GAUGAAGAACGUAGCGAAAUGCGAUAAGUAGUGUGAAUUGCAGAAUUCAGUGAAUCAUCGAAUCUUUGAACGCACCUUGCACCCUUUGGCAUUCCGAAGGGUAUGCUCGUUUGAGUGUCAUUGUACUCUCACACUUCCGAUCUUUGGAUUGGGAGCGGUGGACUUGGGUGUUGCUGCUUACUGUGGCUCACCUCAAAUCGAUUCGUGCACCUCUUGGUUGGACAUAGUACGGCGUGAUAAGUGUCUUCGCCGGCACCUCAGUAGAGGGUGGCUGAUCGGGAGCUCUGCUUCAAACCGUCCUCGGACAACAACUGACAACUUGACCUCAAAUCGAGUAGGACUACCCGCUGAACUUAAGCAUAUCAAUAAGCGGAGGA
rnacentral:misc_RNA from 1 species